ensembl:rRNA 5S_rRNA 5S ribosomal RNA
UUUAGCCAUACCACCCUGAAGGUGCCUCAUCUCGGAAGCUAAGCAGGGUCGGGCCUGGUUAGUACUUGGAUGGGAGAUUAUUUUAUUAAUCUAGUAGUUUCCAUAU